rnacentral:snoRNA from 1 species
AAUCCAUGGUGAGGGCAAUCAGGUUUAUACUCCUUACAUCGUUCCCAGACUUCAUAGAAAGUUUCAGUCGGUCCUUGCUGAAAACUUGAGAUCUUGGUUCUCAACAAGUUU